AAAAGGCUGCUGCGCACUUGAAGGUCCGUUUCUUGAUCUCUUGUUUUACUUUAGCGUUUUUGGUAGUGUAUUUAAAUCUGUAAUUUCUGGAUAGAUGAUACUCUUUUUGUAGAUGUGCAUGUGUAUGAAGAUAUAAGGAUUUAAAUCUGUAUUCACAAAUUCCUUAAUAUUUAUUUAAAUAUUGCUGCUUCAUAUGCUUUAUUGCGGAGAUUAAUGAUAGAGGAUUUAGUAAAACCAUAAUAUUUGUCAUUACUCAGUGUUCCAUUUUAAAAUUUCAUUUGCAGAUUUGGGUUUUUAGAUUGUCUUGAAAAAUGUUGUAGAGAAGUAGAGAUCGAUAAAUCUCUGGAUCUAAAUUCAAAUGACAAGGUUUUGACCUCGAUUUUGUUAUUGUUCAGGGUGGAGCUAAGAAGGUUGUAA
rnacentral:misc_RNA from 1 species